rnacentral:tRNA from 1 species
GGCUUUGUGGUCUAGAGGUAUGAUUUCCGCUUAGGGUGCGGGAGGUCCCGGGUUCGAUUCCCGGCAAAGCCCC